AGGAUGAACGCUAGCUACAGGCUUAACACAUGCAAGUCGAGGGGCAGCAUGGUCUUAGCUUGCUAAGGCCGAUGGCGACCGGCGCACGGGUGAGUAACACGUAUCCAACCUGCCGUCUACUCUUGGACAGCCUUCUGAAAGGAAGAUUAAUACAAGAUGGCAUCAUGAGUCCGCAUGUUCACAUGAUUAAAGGUAUUCCGGUAGACGAUGGGGAUGCGUUCCAUUAGAUAGUAGGCGGGGUAACGGCCCACCUAGUCUUCGAUGGAUAGGGGUUCUGAGAGGAAGGUCCCCCACAUUGGAACUGAGACACGGUCCAAACUCCUACGGGAGGCAGCAGUGAGGAAUAUUGGUCAAUGGGCGAGAGCCUGAACCAGCCAAGUAGCGUGAAGGAUGACUGCCCUAUGGGUUGUAAACUUCUUUUAUAAAGGAAUAAAGUCGGGUAUGCAUACCCGUUUGCAUGUACUUUAUGAAUAAGGAUCGGCUAACUCCGUGCCAGCAGCCGCGGUAAUACGGAGGAUCCGAGCGUUAUCCGGAUUUAUUGGGUUUAAAGGGAGCGUAGAUGGAUGUUUAAGUCAGUUGUGAAAGUUUGCGGCUCAACCGUAAAAUUGCAGUUGAUACUGGAUAUCUUGAGUGCAGUUGAGGCAGGCGGAAUUCGUGGUGUAGCGGUGAAAUGCUUAGAUAUCACGAAGAACUCCGAUUGCGAAGGCAGCCUGCUAAGCUGCAACUGACAUUGAGGCUCGAAAGUGUGGGUAUCAAACAGGAUUAGAUACCCUGGUAGUCCACACGGUAAACGAUGAAUACUCGCUGUUUGCGAUAUACGGCAAGCGGCCAAGCGAAAGCGUUAAGUAUUCCACCUGGGGAGUACGCCGGCAACGGUGAAACUCAAAGGAAUUGACGGGGGCCCGCACAAGCGGAGGAACAUGUGGUUUAAUUCGAUGAUACGCGAGGAACCUUACCCGGGCUUAAAUUGCAGAUGAAUUACGGUGAAAGCCGUAAGCCGCAAGGCAUCUGUGAAGGUGCUGCAUGGUUGUCGUCAGCUCGUGCCGUGAGGUGUCGGCUUAAGUGCCAUAACGAGCGCAACCCUUGUUGUCAGUUACUAACAGGUUCCGCUGAGGACUCUGACAAGACUGCCAUCGUAAGAUGUGAGGAAGGUGGGGAUGACGUCAAAUCAGCACGGCCCUUACGUCCGGGGCUACACACGUGUUACAAUGGGGGGUACAGAGGGCCGCUACCACGCGAGUGGAUGCCAAUCCCCAAAACCUCUCUCAGUUCGGACUGGAGUCUGCAACCCGACUCCACGAAGCUGGAUUCGCUAGUAAUCGCGCAUCAGCCACGGCGCGGUGAAUACGUUCCCGGGCCUUGUACACACCGCCCGUCAAGCCAUGGGAGCCGGGGGUACCUGAAGUGCGUAACCGCGAGGAGCGCCCUAGGGUAAAAC
rnacentral:rRNA from 1 species